rnacentral:lncRNA from 1 species
AUUCGAACAGUAGUCUCUAAAAUAAUAGUCCCAUGGCACAUCAACUUCAAGCAAGUAGCCCUGUGGGUCAAGUUCAUGUCACCAUCUCAAAUCCAGAAUUUGUGGCAGUUCAAUUUCAAAGACCUCAAAAUAAUGGCGAAUGAAACUGCAUCGUAUAUCACUGCUAAACAGGUAAGUGCUCGAUGAAAACCCCACUACACAACAAGUUGGUUGCAUUGAAUGGCAAAUGGCUCAUCCAGAAAGUUCAAAAUCCACUCCGAACUUCACAAUUUGCUUAAGAAAUGUGCACAUUUUUGAGCUUCCCAUUUCCGAAUGUAAGUAUUCUAUGGCUAAGACAUAAUUUGAUACAAACAGUUCACUCUAGUAUUAUAACUUCUUGCCAAAGUCAAAAUGGCUGCCAUCGUCUGUUGCAGUUUUUUUAAUUAAAAACAAAAUAUAACUAAGGCCUUUUAUCCAACAUCUCCACCUUCUCGUUUUUCAAGUCAAGUGUAAGAAGAAGAAGAAGAAGUACCCUUUUGUUUGUUUUUAGUUGAGGAACUGUGGCUCACAGUCGAAAAAUGCUGUGGAAAGGGGAGCAUGGAAGAAAAUAAAUAAAAGAACCAAUUGAAUUUUUUAGUUAUUUGCGUUUCAUUUGCAUUUCUCUUCUCCAGGAAAAUUUUAUUCUAUGAUUAAUCAAAAUUGGACUUUUUUAUGCUAAAAAGAACUAUAUGCAAAGGGUUUGCGUCCAACAUAGUUUCUUUUAGCAUAAAUACGUCCAAUUGAAAAUGUAUUUAUUUUAUCCUUUAUGCACAGAUACUUCUGUACCAGCUGUAUCAACUAAAUCAGAAAUACGUCAAAGAAGGAAAGUAUCCAAAUCUGAACGGCUCUGCUGAUCUCAUCAAACUUGACGGUGGGUUUGUCGCCAUUCUGCCAUUGGCAAUCAUCGAACAGCUUUCUGCUUCCGAUGUUCUCACCCUUGAUUCUCUUCAAAGAUUGACAGCAGUUCUAUGAGCCUAUCAAUGGCUUAUUAUUUAACAGAUGAAAGUAGAGUCUUUAAUUUGGGAGCACCCAGUAAGAAACUCACUGGUAUCAGAGGCAUGUUACGAGCGAUCCCCACAUCUCAAAUAAUGGCCAUCAAUGGAGACAUGUCAUCAAUUAUUCUUCACCAUUUGCUUCAAAAUCUGCAAGGAGAUAAUGUAUUGCGGAACUUAGAACUCCUGAAAAAAUGCCGUUCAUUUUUAGGGAAUAAUGACUAUGUGCUGAAGUUCCUCCUAGAAAACAAAGAUAAAAACAUGUAUUUCAGUCUCUUGUCUCCCAAAGAUAUAGCCCACAUAUCCCUGAGUUCAAUCAAUGACCUAGUCAAGGAUAACUAUGGCCAGCGCAUUCAAGAGCUUCCAUCGCAUAUCUUGGCUGCAAUUUUAUCGAACAAUUCACCGACAUCCUGGACUUGGAAUAACAUGUUUAAUAGUUCGAAUGCUUUUGAAUCUCUCCUGAUGGGACUCAGUUGUAAAGAAAUGCGUAAAAUUGCAGACAGCGACUUCAUUACCAUAAUUGGAAGAUACAAUGAUGAGCGCAUGAAAAUUGGCAAGGUAUUCCCUAAAAAUCUUCAACAUUGUGGUCAGGCAGCCUUGAUUAAUUAUUUACUCUUGAAAUCCAAUUUAUACAAUGAACCGGAGCUUAUCGAUCUAUUGGAACCAAGUGACAUUGAAGCUGUUGGUGGUUAUAUUUUAGCAUCCUUACCAGUCGAAGAAAUAUUGCAAGCUCAAUAUAGCGCUCACAUCAUUUCAGCCAUUGGGCAAUUGAGUCUACCAGAACUUAUGCUCGCUGCCUCUCAAGAUCAUCUUAAUACUCUGAUGGAUGAAUAUUUAAACAAGGAUCACAACCUAACAGACAUUCUGAACCUUCGGAACCUCAUUCAUUUCAUACCUGCUUCUGCUCUUGUGAAAAUCAAUCCAAUGGAUUUGAAAUACAUGAUCGAAAGCGGUAUUUUAGAUAAAAGACUUUGUGGUGAUUCAAGCACUCGAGAGGCCUGGUCAAGACUUUUAAUCACCAUAUACGGUUCACCUUCAAAGUGGAAUGCAAGUCAGUUAGAAACGGUAGGAGAUUUGAUGAUAGCUUUCUCUUCAGAUCGUUUGGAUACGAUUGAUUCUGCUCAAUGGCAGUUGCUGGCUGACAUUGCUGUGACCAGGUACACGGAUAUUGUUGAGUGGCCGAAAACCUCAACAUUUUAUCAGGCAUGCAUGUCAACCUUGAUCAAAUCGGAGCAAAAGCGUUAUUUGGAGGCAGUUAAAUCCCUAGCAAGGAAAUACUUCACCGAAGUGCAGCGCAUGGCCAGCUCAAUUAAACUCAACACCAAAGAUGACUCCAUCGUAUUGAUCAAAACCAACAGGAGCUCCUCAGAAAACUUGCCAGUGCCGAAAAUCAUUUCUUUAGAUGAAGGAGGAAGCUCCGCAGAAGAUAUAUACGAGAUCUUCACUGAGGAACCUUCGACUAAGUCACAUCAAGAAACUACUCCAAGUCCUCAGCAACUUCACCCAAAAGAUACCUUCAAAAUGAAAUCAGUCUCAGUCAGUUCCACUAAGAGCCCAUCUGAAAUAAUUUCUACCAGCCGUACUAGUCCUGAGGACGCGAAUGUUUUGUCAUCCACAACAAAAUUCCACCCAGGAAAUGUAAGCGGUGAGAACUACAACCCUCAUCCUAGGAUCAGAUCACAGGAAGAUUCAAAUGAAGAUCAUGCUUCACAAACAAAUACAGAUUCAGAGGAAAAUGGGGCAUCAUUAUUCAAGUCACCUGGUUUUCCUUCGAUAACAGAGGUCUCCACCGGCACUCCUCAUCAACGAAAUGAAACUCCAGGUACUAACUCUCUGCACCCUAUUCCUCAUGAUCAUGAAUUUUUACCCAAGUUUUCAGAGCCAUCAAUGGUUUCUCCAAGAGAAACGACAAAUUAUUUUUCGACGGAGGCUUCAAGAUACGGUUCUGAUGAUACUGUUAGCACCUUGCGAAUGUCUUUUCUUCCAAAGAAUAUUCUGUCAAAAGAAGAUGAAGAUAAUGGCGAUUUGCAUGUGCAUAUAAUUGAGCCAGAGAUAAUGGAAGAUAACCUGGCUCUUAAAAAUCCCGAUGAGAUUAAGAAAGGGAUUUCCAUAGAUCGGUCCAUCCUGUCCGAGAUAGACACUGAUGAUUCGCGCCAAAUGCAAUCCUCUGUAGAGGAUGAUAAGUUAGAGGUUUCCUUCACUGAUGCUAAUGAAAAACCUGAGUCCAGCUCGACAGAUGCACCGAAUUUCUUUUUAGGGUUAUUCAAUGGUUUUACUACGAAGUCCACAAUCUCUACGGAGGUCCUUUCAACUGAUUCUAUUGAAAGGCCAAAGUUAAACUUCGCAGAUGGACCAAAUUUUCUUUCAGGGUUAUUUAAUGGUUUCACGACCAAGUCUGUAAUCUCUUCGACGCCUGAAUCAAUCACUGAAAAUUCCUUGGAAACCGAGUUUGAUUCAAACUUAUUAUCUUCAACCACCACAGAGGGCACCGAAUACGAAUUGGGGGAUACAUUUAGCGCUCUUAUAUUUGGGAAAGAGUUUACCGACCAAGCUGUGAAAGUCCGCAAAGGGUUGAAACAACUCAUGGGUGUAGAUAAGUCAAGGGAGUCACCAAUUCCUUUCAAUACUACAAACCUGAAGGCUACUGAUAGGAUACCGCCUGUUCAGAGUGAAGGUGAAGAACAAGGUGUUGAAAGUGAUGUCCAUUCGUCAUCAGUUGAGGAUGAGGUGUAUCAGUCAACAAUAACUUCGAUCUUGAGCGUGGAACCCAUAAAUGAGAGGACUCAAGCUGAAGCCAUUGUCUUCAAUGAAAACCCCUCUGCCGAAAGAAAUUCCAAGCCACCAACUGACGUGAUCUCCACAACUGAGCCUCUAACUCAGCCUACCGUAGUGUCUGAAAACAUGGAUCCCUUUGAUUUUCUAGAUUAUAAAGCAGGAAAAAUUAUUUCACUGGACAAUAUCUCUGAGAUGUUAGACUUGGAUUACGAACAUCCUCUGGCUGAAGUAAUCGGGAAGGAAGGAAUCAGCAGCUCAGAGGCUGACACCAGAUUCGCACGUUUUCGCAGGAAUGCAGAUCAACCUUCAAAUAGCGGGUUCUGUGAUUCAGUAAAAGUGCUUGGAGCAUCUGCAGUACUAGCCAUACGAGAUUUUGAUUUGCACUCAGUCACGAAUGAUGAACUUCUAUAUUGUGUGGAAGAUCUGGGUAAAUUAGACUUGCCACAGUCGAUCAAAGAAAUCAUUUGGCAACGAGUAAAAUCUUUGAAAGUCGUAGAUAUGGCCAUUGGGACUUUAGCGGGGGCUUGGAAACUGGAUGAUGCUAACAACGUGUCUCUGAAUAUCAGUGAGGAUUGGAAUUUGGAAAUAAUUCAUCUGCUCUCGAAGUACAAUAAGGACAAUUUGGUUGCAAACGCUGUUGUUGAAAAGAUGAAGAAGCAAAUUUUCACAGGGGAAUUAAUCGGUGAAGUGCCAGAAGCCGUCAUAGUAGCCAUGGGACCUUUGCUUUGCCAUUUGAAUCCCAACGAACUACAGCUCAUGUUCCAGACCCCAGGCACUUUCAUGCAUGUUAUUCCAAUCAUCGGAAAUAUGAUGAGGGAUUGUGAAAUGGAAUGUCUCUCCAAAUUCGCCAAAUUGGCUGUUGCAUUCAUGGAUACCCCAGACUUGUGGACAUCAGACAUGGUUGCAUUGCUUGGGCCGAUACCCGCAGGAUUAGACGAGGAUAAUUGGAGACUUCUCGCCAGUCGUCCCCAGUCUGUCUCUGGCUUACGACCGAGUUCCUUGGAGUGCUUACCACAAUCUUUCCUACAGAUGAUGGGAGUAGAAGCACUGGGAAGCAUUUCUCCUUUAACGGCCAAAAUUUUAACGGACAACCAGCUGAAAUCGCUAGAGAAACAGAAAGCAGAUGUCUUAAUCAGUGUCAAAAAUGAACAGUGGAGCCUUCGAAAUAUUUCUGCGCUACACAAACUGAACAUUGAUACGACUACAAAACCAAAAAUUGAAGUCGACCUGAGUUCUAAUUCGAAUUCUGUCACUCCGUCCAUUUUAAUUGCUGUCUGUUUAUCAGCCAUUUUCUCGUCUUGGUGUUAA